rnacentral:rRNA from 1 species
GACGAACGCUGGCGGCGUGCUUAACACAUGCAAGUCGAGCGGUAAGGCCCUUUCGGGGGUACACGAGCGGCGAACGGGUGAGUAACACGUGGGUGACCUGCCCUCAGCUCUGGGAUAAGCCCGGGAAACUGGGUCUAAUACUGGAUAUGACUCCAUGACGCAUGUUGUGGGGUGGAAAGCCUUGUGCGGCUGAGGAUGGGCCCGCGGCCUAUCAGCUUGUUGGUGGGGGAUGGCCUA